rfam:Dipodomys ordii contig_61287, whole genome shotgun sequence.
GGGAAGUUGGCUCAGUGGUAGAGCGCUUGCCUUGCAUGCAUGAGGCCCUGGGUUC